UACGUAGGGUGCGAGCGUUGUCCGGAAUUAUUGGGCGUAAAGAGCUCGUAGGCGGUGUGUCACGUCGGCCGUGAAAACCCGCAGCUUAACUGUGGGCGUGCGGUCGAUACGGGCAUCACUGGAGUUCGGCAGGGGAGACUGGAAUUCCUGGUGUAGCGGUGAAAUGCGCAGAUAUCAGGAGGAACACCGAUGGCGAAGGCAGGUCUCUGGGCUGACACUGACGCUCAUGCACGAAAGCGUGGGGAGCAAACAGG
rnacentral:rRNA from 1 species